UAUAUAUUAGUGUAUGAGGCACGUGGAAUUUUGAAUUCUUUAGAUUUAGUUUAAUUCUAAAAUAUAUAA
rnacentral:tRNA from 1 species